rnacentral:rRNA from 1 species
CGCUGGCGGCGUGCCUCACACAUGCAAGUCGAGCGAGAACGAAGUGCUUGCACUUCGGGAAAGCGGCGAACGGGUGAGUAACACGUGAGUAACCUGCCCUUCGGAGGGGGAUAGCGACCCGAAAGGACCGGUAAUACCCCAUAUGCUCACAUUCUUACAAGGAAGGUGAGGAAAUGGUUUACUCCGCCGAAGGAGGGGCUCGCGGCCUAUCAGGUAGUUGGUGAGAUAACAGCCCACCAAGCCUACGACGGGUAUCCGACGUGAGAGCGUGAUCGGACACAUGGGGAUUGAGACACGGCCCUGACUCCUACGGGAGGCAGCAGUGGGGAAUUUUGGACAAUGGGCGAAAGCCUGAUCCAGCAACGCCGCGUGGAGGAUGAAGGCCUUCGGGUUGUAAACUCCUGUUGCGAGGGAUGAAUAAGGUUUAUCCGAUGACCGUACCUCGCCAGAAAGCCCCGGCUAACUACGUGCCAGCAGCCGCGGUAAUACGUAGGGGGCAAGCGUUACCCGAAAUCACUGGGCGUAAAGGGAGCGCAGGUGGUACAGCAAGUCAGAGGUUAAAUCCCACGGCUCAACCGUGGACCUGCCUUUGAAACUGCUGUACUUGAGGCUGAGAGAGGAAGAUGGAAUUCCUGGUGUAGUGGUGAAAUACUUAGAUAUCAGGAAGAACACCUAUGGCGAAGGCAGUCUUCUGGCUCAGUCCUGACACUGGGGCUCGAAAGCUAGGGGAGCGAAUGGGAUUAGAUACCCCAGUAGUCCUAGCCGUAAACGAUGCUCACUGGGUGUGGGGGGGAAACACCCUCUGUGCCGAAGUUAACGCGAUAAGUGAGCCGCCUGGGGAGUACGACCGCAAGGUUGAAACUCAAAGGAAUUGACGGGGCCCCGCGCAAGUGGUGGAGCAUGUGGUUUAAUUCGAAGAUACGCGAAGAACCUUACCUGGCCUUGACAUUGAUGGAACCCGGUAGAGAUACUGGGGUGCCCUUCGGGGAGCCUGAAAACAGGUGCUGCACGGCUAUCGUCAGCUCGUGUCGUGAGAUGUUGGGUUAAGUCUCGCAACGAGCGCAACCCUCGUCCUUAGUUGCCAGCAGUUCGGCUGGGCACUCUAAGGAGACUGCCUUCGUAAGGAGGAGGAAGGUGAGGACGACGUCAAGUCAUCAUGGCCCUUACGGCCAGGGCUACACACGUGCUACAAUGGGGUGUACAAAGAGUUGCGAUACCGCGAGGUGGAGCUAAUCUCUUAAAGCAUCUCUCAGUUCGGAUUGUUCUCUGCAACUCGAGAGCAUGAAGCUGGAAUCACUAGUAAUCGUAGAUCAGCAAUGCUACGGUGAAUACGUUCCCGGGUCUUGUACUCACCGCCCGUCACACCAUGGGAGUUGAUUUCACCCGAAAUCGGGAAGCCAAACCGGCUACCGCUUACGGUGGAAUUAGCGACAGG